rnacentral:rRNA from 1 species
GGGCCCGCACAAGCGGUGGAGCAUGUGGUUUAAUUCGAUGAUACGCGAGGAACCUUACCAGGGCUUAAAUGUAGUGGGACAGGGUCUAGAGAUAGACCCUUCUUCGGACUCAUUACAAGGUGCUGCAUGGUUGUCGUCAGCUCGUGCCGUGAGGUGUCAGGUUAAGUCCUAUAACGAGCGCAACCCCUAUCGUUAGUUGCCAGCGAGUAAUGUCGGGAACUCUAACGAAACUGCCAGUGCAAACUGUGAGGAAGGUGGGGAUGACGUCAAAUCAUCACGGCCCUUACGUCCUGGCUACACACGUGCUACAAUGGCCGGUACAGAGAGCAGCCAACUUGCGAGAGUGAG